CUGACGUUGUUAAGUAGGGGUGCCCAAAAGAUCCCCAGUUGUUUCAAAACUACAGCUUCCAUCAUGCUUUGUCAUUCUAAAGGCAUGCAAAGCAUCAUGGGAGGUGUAGUUCUACAACAAUUGGGGAUCUACCUUUUGGACACCCCCUUUGUAAAGUAUAGAAAACACAAUGAUAUCACAGCCUUUCUGCCUUCCAUGUUACAAUUUUGCUGUUAG